rnacentral:rRNA from 1 species
GAUGAACGCUGACAGCAUGCUUAACACAUGCAAGUCGACUGGAAAGUCGGCUUGGGUGGUGCACGGGUGAGUAACGCGUAAGGAACAUGCAUCACAGUUAGGGAUAACUUUGGGAAACGAAUGCUAAUACCUGACAUUAUCUUUUUAGGGCUUCCUAAAUUCAUGAAAGGUAGAUGCACUGUGAGAGGGUUUUGCGUUCAAUUAGCUAGUUGGAGAGGUAACGGCUGAUAAUGGCGAUGAUGGGUAGCCGGCCUGAGAGGGUGACAGGCCCCAAGGGGCCUGGGGACGGGCCAGUACCCAAACGGGAGCAAGAAGUGGGGAAUUUUCGCAAAGGGACCAAACGUGUGAUACAGAAAUUCUGUGUGGAAGAUGAGGUUUUUCGGAAUGUAAAGUUGUUUAAGUUGGGAAGAACAAAAUGACGGUACCUACAGAAGAAGUGACGGCUAACUACGUG